rnacentral:rRNA from 1 species
UUGAAAGGGAAACGAUUGAAGUCAGUCGUACCAGCGGGAAAUCAACCUUUCGAGUGGGGGUUUUGGAGUUUUGAAGAGUGUCAAAACCUUUGAGAUUUCAAAAUAUUCGCUCUUUUGGUGUACUUUCUCGUGGGUAGGUUAACAUCGAUUUUGAUCAUCAUAAAAAGAUUGGAGGAAUGUAGCUUCGAUCUUGUAUUGAAGUGUUAUAGCCUUUGGUAAAUGUGAUGAUUAGGAUCGAGGAUUGCAACGAAUACCCUUUUGGGCUAUCCGCCUGAUCUCUGAUACGUGGCCUUGGUAUCGAAAGCGUGCUUAUGGUAUUGAGGUAUUACGGUCAAAAGGUUAGAACGGAUUACAUUCGUUAAGGAUGUUGACGUA